UCCAGGCCCUACGGGGUGCAGCAGGCGCGAAAAUUUUGCAAUGCGCGAAAGCGUGACAGAGGGAUUCUGAGUGUUGCUCCACGCGAGCAACUUUUCUUAAGUGUAAAUUACUUGAGGAAUAAGGAGAGGAUAAGGCUAGUGCCAGCAGCCGCGGUAAAAU
rnacentral:rRNA from 1 species